UGCGUAUCGCUGCACAUAUUUAAUGAGCACAAGCUGCCGGUCUGUGUAUCAUUUCACUAUAAAUGGUUCACUAUUUAGCGGCACUGAAGUAAAAGUGCUGAGCAAACCUUAUCAGGGGGAAAGUGAGAGAAAACGGAGGGAGAUAAGGCGCUGGAUGGUUGGGGGCAGGGCGGCUCAAAUCGCCCAGCUCAAUAUCUGACUGGCUGCAGAUUAAAAAUGAAAAAGAAAAACAGAAGAGCGCUCUGAAAUCCACCGUGAGAGAGUCAGAUGUGAGGAUAAAGGGGCAAACUGCUUGAGAAAAAGCAGCAGAAUAAAGCCGAGCAGGAUUUAAACAUGGAAGAGACGCAGCUGGAUCCGAAAAGAACGAGGUGCGCCGUCUCACUGACUGAUACUGGAAAUCAAUGUGAGCCUUUAAACGAAUCAGUAGGAGCAGAUAAGUUAUCCUGUUCAGGUCGAUAUUUAUUAGACCGAUCCACUGAAACAUGUAGAUACAGAUUAGUGGUGUUUUACAUCAUUUCCUAAUGUUUUGAAGCAGUCUUUUUUUAGAGUCCACUAGUGUAAACAGGUUUACAUGGACAACAUGUAAACAACAGCCAUCGCCAUUUACAAUAACUCUUUAAAGAAUUUUAAUUAAUAUGAGCUACAACAUUUAAUUUCAAUUUGGGAUCAAUAGAGUAUUUUUGAAUUUGACUGAUUUAAACAGGAGAAAGGUCAAAAGCAGAAGAGGAGAGAUAGAUUAAGAUAAAAAAAUGCUCUAACAAAGAGCUUGAUAAUAAAUAAAUAGCAAAAUACAUAAAUCAAUCUCAAUAGAUAAAACAUCGGAUAAAAUAUUCAACAUAUGGAAUAUCUACUGAGCUCUGAUCCUGAAAUCUGGAAUCAACUCACUCUCUCACUCUUUGGUUGCCUAGCAACAACCCACUGGGCAGCAGUUCAAGCACCCCCUAACUUCGGUUACCUAGCAACGAAUUCCGCUGAGCAACUGACACAGUAGCAGUUUAAAGUUCCACCACUUUUCCUCAUAACUGCUUACAAAUUUUUAAAAAACAACGACAACGAAGAGGGAAAACUGGAUGAAAGAGGAAAGGUCAGACCCCUAGUCUGGUAAUCUGAGCGGGGCUUUGAUCCUAAUUCUUCCCCACGUGCCGUCAUCAGUCAGAGUUCAGACAAAGACUUCUCUAAAUGCAGAUCCACGGAGAAGAAGAGGCUAGAUGAAGUCCUGUCACCUCUGAUGUGCUUCAAAAAUACCUCCAACAAGCAUCAAAGCAGCUUCAGUCUUUAUUAAACUCCCACCGCACCCUUCACAUCUGCUCAGUCCAGCUGUACUUUCACUAAUUAAUCCCUACCUUCUUCAUUCAUGAUCUCAUGUCGCAGCUUUUUAUCCAUGAUUCCUUAAUCCUGACGUGUGUUUGAACAUGGAGCAGAAAGAUUUGGUAAAAACAAAAAGAAAUCAUUCUUAAAGGUGGCAGGUUAGGUCUGUGGUAUGUUCAUUACAUUUUUUGCACUAAAUUAUUCUGAGAUAAUGAGAUUUUAUUCUGCUCAGCUCUGAUCAUUUUGAGCUGUUUUAGGGUGCCUUGUCACUUUAAAUCCUAAUAAGCUGCUGCUGCUGGCCACGCCCCCCCAACUCAAUGUUUGCAUCGCACAUGAAAAUGGCUGCAAACAGGUUCGUAAUUAUACAACCCUACAUCUUUGAAAAGCAGAAGUGGAGCCUCCUACACAACCAACAAGAAUGUAGCAAAAGGUUUCUGGAUGGUAAGUCAACUAAAAAACGUUUGUUUUUUCCAGCAACCAUUGUAUAGCACAUACAGCUAAGCCUGUCACAACAACAAAUUUUGCUGGACAAUAAAUCGUCCCAGAAGUUAUUGUGAUAAACAAUAAUAUUGUUGUUUUCAGACCAUGUUCAAGUAAUAUAAUGGUAGUAAUGCAAGAACACCUAUUCAAAGAUCAAUAAAUUUACAAUUCUAAUGAGCAUUUAACACUGAGACUGGAAGACAUUUUAAGUAUCCAAAAUAAAUAAACAAAACAACAGAAA